CCUACGGGUGGCAGCAGUGGGGAAUAUUGCACAAUGGGCGCAAGCCUGAUGCAGCAACGCCGCGUGAGCGAAGAAGGCCUUCUGGUCGUAAAGCUCUUUCCUCAAGGGAGAUAAUGACGGUACUUGAGGAGGAAGCCCCGUCUAACUACGUGCCAGCAGCCGCGGUAAUACGUCGGGGGCUAGCGUUAUCCGGAAUUACUGGGCGUAAAGGGUGCGUAGGUGGUUUCUUAAGUCAGAGGUAAAAGGCUACGGCUCAACCGUAGUAAGCCGUUGAAACUGGGAAACGUGAGUGCAGGAGAGGAGAGUGGAAUGCGUAGUGUAGCGGUGAAAUGCGUAGAUAUCAGGCAGAACACCAGUUGCGAAGGCAGCUCACUGG
rnacentral:rRNA from 1 species